rnacentral:rRNA from 1 species
UGGGGAAUAUUGGACAAUGGGCGCAAGCCUGAUCCAGCCAUGCCGCGUGAGUGAUGAAGGCACUAGGGUUGUAAAGCUCUUUCACCGGUGAAGAUAAUGACGGUAACCGGAGAAGAAGCCCCGGCUAACUUCGUGCCAGCAGCCGCGGUAAUACGAAGGGGGCUAGCGUUGUUCGGAUUUACUGGGCGUAAAGCGCACGUAGGCGGACUAUUAAGUCAGGGGUGAAAUCCCGGGGCUCAACCCCGGAACUGCCUUUGAUACUGGUAGUCUUGAGUUCGAGAGAGGUGAGUGGAAUUCCGAGUGUAGAAGUGAAAUUCGUAGAUAUUCGGAGGAACACCAGUGGCGAAGGCGGCUCACUGGCUCGAUACUGACGCUGAGGUGCGAAAGCGUGGGGAGCAAACAGG